CACGUAGGGAGGCGAGCGUUGUCCGGAAUCAUUGGGCGUAAAGAGCGCGCAGGCGGCUUGGCAAGUCGGGUGUGAAAGUCCCGGGCUCAACCCGUGACUGCAUCCGAUACUGUCAGGCUAGAGGUAGGUAGGGGAGAUCGGAAUUCCUGGUGUAGCGGUGAAAUGCGCAGAUAUCAGGAGGAACACCAGUGGCGAAGGCGGUGCUCUGGGCCGGAACUGACGCUGAGGAGCGAAAGCGUGGGGAGCAAACAGG
rnacentral:rRNA from 1 species